AUGACGAGGGAAAAGCGACCUGAUCUCUUAACAAAGGUAUGGCCAGUUGUUGAGCCCCUUAUCAGGAAGCCUCCUGCAGCCCCAUGGCCAUACGUCCAAUCGGCAGUUACAGGAAGUUACGCGCCUAAUCACUUGAUUUGUCCAAUUAGCAUGGAUAUUAUGAAGGAUCCUCAAGUGGCAUCUGAUGGAUUCACUUACGAAGCAGAAGCCAUAAUGCGCUGGUUUGAUGGCGGGAACAACAGGUCUCCGAUGACGAACUUGCCGCUAACAAGUCAUGAUCUCGUCCCGAAUCGAGCCCUCCUCUCUUCCAUCCAGGAGUACCUUGAUCAGCAGAAGCAGCCAGGUUCCUGA
rnacentral:rRNA from 1 species